CCCGGGUGUAGCUGCGCUCGGGGGAGGCCCUCCAUCCGCCCUCCGCUGCCGUAGCGCCCUCCUCGGCCUCCCCUCCCCGAUGAGAGACUUGUAGGAUCGUCCAUCUUCAACUCCUGUCAGUGAGCAGCUGGAACCUUUGUGACCCCGUGUUGAGCUGUGGAAAGGCAGGAAUGGGCAGGGAAGCCACCUACCUCUGGAGCAAACAAAGCAAUGCAACCUCAGAGCAGGAGCGUCAGCCACAUCCUUGCUCCUUUGGCUGGGCACUGAGUGUGAGAGGAACCUACUGAGAAGGCCCCAUCUGCAUGGUGUUCUUUGGUGACCAGGAGAGCAGCAGGCACUGAGCAGAAUGUGUGAUUUGUUCUUCUGGCAUGUCCUAAGGAGGCAGCAAGUGUGGGAGUGGUUUUUCCAUGGGGAUAUCUCUGGGAGCAGGCAGGUCCCAGCACAUCUGGGCAGGUAGGCUUGGGCCUGCUGCUCUUGCUGUGGCCUGAAGCGCACAGCAUGCGCCAGCCUGGGCUGUACAACAGGAGCAGUCAUUAUGCAGAAAGCUUGAAAUGAUAGAAAUCUGCAUAUUAAGAUGACUUUGGAAACACUUCUGGAAGACUUUGUCCCUUUAAAUCUCGUUGGAAGGGUCUCUUCCAGUGUGAGUCAUUUGCAGCUGUAGAGGACCCCGGGCAGAGCCUUCCUCUUCUCUACUGAAUAGGGUUGUCAGAGCUCCCAGGGUCAGCGUGGGGAGAAAAAUACCCUGAUUCAUUUCCCAACCAGAUAUGCAUAGGAGAACUCCCAUAGGGCUGCUGCUGCGGGGGUUGUGGCUUUGGUUUUCCAGUCGCUCUGCUCUACAUAAGCGACAUGCAGCUCCAAGGUCCCACCCAGAGGACUGAAACACCCCAGAGCCCGUCCCCAGGCAGCACACAAUGGUGUUGAUAUGACUCUUGCUACAGAGGAAGUGGCUUCUGUUAUAACCAGAGAGCAAUCUGCCAAAGUCCACAGUCUGGGCAGUUGCCAAGCUGAGUUUGACAAAAAUAUUUAACUUUGACUUUCAUCUUAGCUUUUUCUCAAGAUAAUUCUCCUACUUCCUACCAUUGAAAUCUCACCUAUGCUAGGAUUUUUAUUUUUACGUAAACUAAUCUAUGCUUUUACUCAGAGAAAGUAAUAUACAACAGAUUAAAAUCUUUAACAGAUCAUGAAAAUAGUCUAAAAUGUUGUCAGUACAAUAACAAAACUGGUGUUAGGCUCUAUGCAGCUCAGGGCGUUGCUCAGGGUUUUUUUGUGCCCUCUCCUGUUCCUGCUCAGAGCAGUCUGUUCUUGAUCUGAAUUAGACACUGGAAAUACUACAGAGGUACUGUAGCAGAGAAGACAGGGUGUGAAAACCUUGGGAUAUUUGAGGCCUCAGGCGCCCCCUUGUGCCCUUUCUUUUUUGUGUUGCAGUGCCAGCAAAUGCAAGGGACACAGGCUGCACAAAACAGCUGAGCCUCAGCUGCAUCAUUGCGUGGGGCCUGCGGGGUGCUCUGGCACUUGCAUCGUGCUCAGUGAUAGUUUGGAUGUGUAGGAGUUGCUUGUUGAUAAGUAACACAAAGUUCACCCCAACUAUACAAUGUGCUUAUUGAGAAGUUUUGAACGUACAAAAGCUAUUAUUCUCUUCUAAAAGACAAGAGUAAGGUUUUGGAUUCAUUUAAAGAUGGUAAGAUUUGUGGGUUAUAAAUUUUGUCUGGUGGGCCUGAUUUUAAGUUGGGUUUUGAACCUCCCUGAUUCUUAAGAAUACUAUGCAAGCUUAGAUUUCUUCCUGUCUACUCCAUACUGUUUUCAGUCAUCCAUCUCAGGACACGGAGAAGAUGGAGUUCUUGAACACCUUUGUUGCUACAGUCUUCUACACCUUAGGCUGCCCCUUGAAAAUCUCAGGCCCUGGAGAUAGGAAGGAGAGUGGGGAAAAGAAUACUUCCCUUGAUCAAGGAAGAUCUGGUCAGGGAUCAUGUAGGCAAAAUUGCUGCACACAAAUCCACAGGCUCUGAUGAGAUGCACCCAUGAAUGCUGAGGGAGCUGGCAGAGGUGAUUGCCAGGCUGCUCUCUAUCAACUUGGAAAGGUCAUGGCAAACAGGAGAGGUGCCUGUGAACUGGAGGAGUGCCAUUGUCAGUCUGGAUGUCAUUUACAAACAAGUGAAAGAAGAGGAGGUUAUCCAGAGUAGUCAGCUUGGAUUCACCAAGGGCAGAUCACACUUGACUAAUUUGGUAGCCUUCUGUGAUGUCAUGGCUGGCAGGGUAGAGGUAGGGAGAGCAGUGAACAUUAUGAACCUUGACUUCAGCAAGGCUUUUGACACUGUCUUCCAUAACGUCCCCGUGAGUUAGGUUAGCUUAGGAGAUGUGGGAUAGGUGAGUGGACAAUGGAGUGAAUUGAGAACUGUCUGACUGGCGGUGCCCAGAGGGUUGUGGUCAGUGGUACAGAGUCUGGUUGGAGGCCUGCAGUGUUCCCCAGGGGCCAGUACAGGAUCUGUUCUUGUUCAACAUCAGUGACCUAGAUGAAGGGAUAGAAGGCCUUCUCUGCAAGUUUGCAGAUGAUAGAAAGCUGGGAGGAGUGGCUGACACACCAGAAUGCUGUGUUGCCAUUCAUUCAGCAAGACCUGAACAGGCUUGAGAGUUGGGUGGAGAUGAACCUGAUGAGGUUCAACAAGGGCAAGUGCAGAGACCUACACCUGAGGAGGAAUAACCAUAUGCAUGAGUACAGGCAAGGGGGUGACCUGCUGGAAAGGAGCUCUGUAGAGAAGGACCUGAGUGUCAGCAGGUUGUCCAUGAGCCAGCAGUGUGCCCUUGUAGCCAAGAAGGCCAAUGGUAUCUGAAAAGAGUGUGGCCAGCAAGUUGAGGGAGGUGAUCCUCCCCCUCUACUCUGCCCUGGUGAGUCCACAUCUGAAGUACUGUGUCCAGUUCUGGGCUCCCCAGUUCAAGAAAGACGGGGAACUGCUGGAGAGAGUCCAGCAGAGGCCACAAAGAUUAUUGAGGGCCUGGAGCAUCUGCUGUAUGAGGAGAGGCUGAGAGACCUGGGGCUAUUGAGCCAGGAGAAGAGAAGGCUAAAGAGGGAUCUUGUCAAUGCUUAUGAAUAUUUAAUAGACAGCAGUCAAGUGGAUGGGGCCCAGUGGCAGAAGAAGGAGCAACUUGCAGAUAAUUUUAUGAUGCAAAAGCAACUGAGCAUAAUCGAUACAGUGUGUUCUUUGGGGAUUCAAGAUGUUGCUUAUUUCUGUUGGACUAACCCUGAGAAGUUUUAGACUGGGCCACCUGCCAUUCUGUGGUGGCAAUUCUAGCUAAAGAGCAGUUUCUAUCAAUGUACUUCUCCUGAGUUUGUUUCAUGUAGCAGUAACUAGAAUAUAAAGCAAUAGUGACCAUGGUAUACUUAGCCAGGUUCCAUCUACUUCAGUAUCCCAUCUCCAGCAGACACUGUAACCUUAAUAAAAGCCUAAGAACAGGUAAAAUAUAAAUGUUUCUUUGUUCACUGUUCUCAUAGCCUCUGACCAUUUUCACUUCUCAAGCAGAUUAUGGGUUUUGUAUAUUUAGCAAACAUUGGACAGAUUGCUGUGCAAGAUUGUCUAGUCUUCACAACAUCUUUUGGCAAGGAGUUCAGGAAAUCAGCUGACCCCUGGGGGAGGAGCCACCUCUUUUUCUUUGUGUUGAACUGCCUGUUAUCUUCACUGGGUGUUACCUCAGCCUUCAAUCGGAAGAAGAAUGAACAGUGACCAUCCAAGGUGCUCGGGAUUUUACAGUCUUCUGUUAUAUCCUUCCAGUUGUCUCUUUUUUCAGUCUGAAAAGUCCUGUCUUAUUUAAUGGAAAUUGUAUCAUAUCUGUAAAUAAUACAAUCUGUAAAUCAAAAAUAAAAAUCCCGACAGUU
ensembl:lncRNA